rnacentral:lncRNA from 1 species
GAGCACGCCAUCUUGAGACAUCCUUUUUUUAAGGAAAUCGACUGGGCCCAGCUGAACCAUCGCCAAAUAGAACCGCCUUUCAGACCCAGAAUCAAAUCCCGAGAAGAUGUCAGUAAUUUUGACCCUGACUUCAUAAAGGAAGAGCCAGUUUUAACUCCAAUUGAUGAGGGACAUCUUCCAAUGAUUAACCAGGAUGAGUUUAGAAACUUUUCCUAUGUGUCUCCAGAAUUGCAACCAUAGCCUUAUGGGGAGUGAGAGAGAGGGCACGAGAACCCAAAGGGAAUAGAGAUUCUCCAGGAAUUUCCUCUAUGGGACCUUCCCAGCAUCAGCCUUAGAACAAGAACCUUACCUUCAAGGAGCAAGUGAAGAACUCUGUGAAGGAUGGAACUUUCAGAUAUCAACUAUUUAGAGUCCAGAGGGAGCCAUGGCACUAGAAAUAGUUGAUAAUGAAAUGAGAUUUUAUGAAGUAUACCGCUCCACCUAUGAGCGUCUGUCUCUGUGGGCUUGGGAUGUUAACAGGAGCCAAAAGGAGGGAAAGUGUGAAGAAUAAAGUAGAUCUGAGAAAUUCUGAGCCAAUCAGGCUUCUUAAUUCAAGAGACAAACCAAGACGUUCUGUCAACUGUGCUGUGCUCUUCUUUAAGCCAAUGAACCCCAAUUCCUGGCAGUCUACAAGAAGUCUCUUAAUGCUAAUGAAGAAUUUAAAGGUCUUUUUAAGGAAAUGAAGGGCUUUCCAAAUAGAAUGAUUUACUCUGAAGAAACAAACAAUGGUAUCUCUGAAACUCACAACCUAAAGCCCAAUCUUGAAAAUAUGUUGUGCACCAAGACGACUGCUUCAGCUUCUUCUCUUAUCCUUACUUUCUUUAAUAGAUAUUUAUUAAACUGUCCAGUGAAAAGGUGCCACAAUGCCCAGUAUUGUAAACAACAGGUUUGCAUUCAUGAAGCUUUCAUUCAUUCUGGAGUCUACUAAUUUACCUGAAUGGUGUUUGCAUUCUGUGAAAUGCCUCUCCACGUUGCAUAUGUCACACUUUUGUCUGCACAUAACUCUUUUUUCACAAGAAGGGUCACUGCCACAACAGCACAGUCAGCGGGUGAAUUACAGGUGCCUGCUGCCUGCCUACCUGGGUAAUCUGAUCUUGUCUGUAUCGCCGUGUGCUCAUCACUGAAGAAUUGCAGGCCACUCAUGUCAGUGACCAGAUUUGUGGCUUAUAAACAUUAGCAGUUUAUUUAUGUUUUAAGAUGCAAAGAUGUGUGUUUGAUAUUCACUUUAAUAAUUAGAAAUGGAUCUUGUAAACAGGGCAUAUAUCAAAGAUGACCUUAUAAUAUGUACCCGAAUAUACAGUUCAAGAAUUUUGUCUGACUGGAAAUAAAUGCAUUUUGU